rnacentral:snoRNA from 1 species
AGACCAUGAUAUGGGCACCACUUAAGCAAGCCCUUGUAUCUUUCCUAGGCCUCGUACAAUGAUUCAGAAUCUAGCUGCAUAAAUGAUGUGAUAUCAUUCCUCAUUUU